CCUACGGGAGGCAGCAGUGGGGAAUAUUGGACAAUGGGCGCAAGCCUGAUCCAGCCAUGCCGCGUGUGUGAAGAAGGCCUUCGGGUUGUAAAGCACUUUUAUCCGGAAAGAAAAGCUUUGGGUUAAUACCCUGAAGUCAUGACGGUACCGGAAGAAUAAGCACCGGCUAACUUCGUGCCAGCAGCCGCGGUAAUACGAAGGGUGCAAGCGUUACUCGGAAUUACUGGGCGUAAAGCGUGCGUAGGUGGUUUGUUAAGUCUGAUGUGAAAGCCCUAGGCUCAACCUGGGAAUUGCAUUGGAUACUGGCAGGCUAGAGUGCGGUAGAGGAUAGUGGAAUUCCCGGUGUAGCAGUGAAAUGCGUAGAGAUCGGGAGGAACAUCUGUGGCGAAGGCGACUAUCUGGGCCAGCACUGACACUGAGGCACGAAAGCGUGGGGAGCAAACAGGAUUAGAUACCCUGGUAGUCCACGCCCUAAACGAUGCGAACUGGAUGUUGGGUGCAACUAGGCACUCAGUAUCGAAGCUAACGCGUUAAGUUCGCCGCCUGGGGAGUACGGUCGCAAGACUGAAACUUAAAUGAAUUGACGG
rnacentral:rRNA from 1 species